CGACAAACAGUGUGAAAGACACUGUCGCCGAAAGACCAAGGGUUCCUGCGUAAAGUUAAUCUGCGCAGGGUUAGUCGGCCCCUAAGGCGAGGCGGAAACGCGUAGUCGAUGGGAACCAGGCGAACAUUCCUGGACCAGGAGGUGGUGACGGAUUUCGAAAGUCGUACGUUCUUAUUGGAUUGAACGUGCGGCCUGGGAGUCCCUGGAAAUAGCCCCUCCAUUAGACCGUACCCGAAACCGACACAGGUGGUCAGGUAGAGUAUACCAAGGCGCUUGAGAGAACUCUGCUGAAGGAACUAGGCAAAUUACACGCGUAACUUCGGGAUAAGCGUGCCUCAUUAGAACGUAAGUUUUAGUGAGGGGCACAAGCCAGGGGGUGGCGACUGUUUAUCAAAAACACAGGGCUCUGCGAAGCCGCAAGGCGACGUAUAGGGUCUGACUCCUGCCCGGUGCCGGAAGGUUAAAGAGAGGUGUGCAAGCAUCGAACUGAAGCCCCGGUGAACGGCGGCCGUAACUAUAACGGUCCUAAGGUAGCGAAAUUCCUUGUCGGGUAAGUUCCGACCUGCACGAAUGGAGUAACGACUUCCCCGCUGUCUCCAGCAUAGACUCAGUGAAAUUGAAUUCCCCGUGAAGAUGCGGGGUUCCCGCGGUUAGACGGAAAGACCCUGUGAACCUUAACUAUAACUUCGCAGUGGCGUUAUCGGUGGUUUGUGUAGGAUAGGCGGGAGGCUUUGAAGCAUGGGCGCCAGCUCGUGUGGAGCCAACCUUGAAAUACCGCCCUAAUCUUCGGUGACGUCUAACCUCGACCCAUUAUCUGGGUCAGGGACCCUGCGUGGCGGGUAGUUUGACUGGGGCGGUCGCCUCCCAAAGAGUAACGGAGGCGCGCGAUGGUAGGCUCAGUCCGGUCGGAAAUCGGACGCUGAGUGCAAUGGCAUAAGCCUGCCUGACUGCGAGACUGACAAGUCGAGCAGAGACGAAAGUCGGCCAUAGUGAUCCGGUGACUCUGUGUGGAAGGGUCAUCGCUCAACGGAUAAAAGGUACUCCGGGGAUAACAGGCUGAUGAUGCCCAAGAGUCCAUAUCGACGGCAUCGUUUGGCACCUCGAUGUCGGCUCAUCUCAUCCUGGGGCUGGAGCAGGUCCCAAGGGUAUGGCUGUUCGCCAUUUAAAGAGGUACGUGAGCUGGGUUCAGAACGUCGUGAGACAGUUUGGUCCCUAUCUGCCGUG
rnacentral:rRNA from 1 species